CGUAUGCAACCUACCUUUAACUGGGGGAUAGCUCAGAGAAAUCUGAAUUAAUACCGCAUAAUAUUAUGAAGUGGCAUCACUUUAUAAUCAAAACUCUGGUGGUUAAAGAUGGGCAUGCGUGACAUUAGCUUGUUGGUGAGGUAACGGCUCACCAAGGCUACGAUGUCUAGGGGGUCUGAGAGGAUGAUCCCCCACACUGGUACUGAGACACGGACCAG
rnacentral:rRNA from 1 species